rnacentral:misc_RNA from 1 species
CGCAUAUUGCGCUCUUUGGUAUUCCGAAGAGCAUGCUUGUUUGAGUAUCAGUAAACACCUCAAAGCUCUUAAUUUUUUUGAGAGUUUUGGACUUGAGCAAUCCCAACACCAGUCUAUUUCAGAUCGGCGGCGGGUUGCUUGAAAUGCAGGUGCAGCUGGACAUUCUCCUGAGCUAAAAGCAUAUUUAUUUAGUCCCGUCAAACGGAUUAUUACUUUUGCUGCAGCUAAUAUAAAGGGAGUUUGACCGUAUUGGCUGACUGAUGCAGGAUUUCACAAAGGUCGGCAACGAUCCUUGUAAAACUCGAUCUCAAAUCAAGUAAGACUACCCGCUGAACUUAA